GAUGAAGAACGUAGUGAAAUGCGAUAAGUAAUGUGAAUUGCAGAAUUCAGUGAAUCAUCGAAUCUUUGAACGCACAUUGCGCCCGCCAGUAUUCUGGCGGGCAUGCCUGUUCGAGCGUCAUUUCAACCAUCAAGCCCCCGGCUUGUGUUGGGGACCUGCGGCUGCCGCAGGCCCUGAAAACCAGUGGCGGGCUCGCUGUCACACCGGGCGUAGUAGAUUUUAUCUCGCUCAGGGCGUGCUGCGGGUUCCGGCCGUUAAAAAGCCUUUUUUACCCAAGGUUGACCUCGGAUCAGGUAGGAAGACCCGCUGAACUUAAGCAUAUCAAAAGCGGAGGA
rnacentral:misc_RNA from 1 species